rnacentral:rRNA from 1 species
UUAGAGUUUGAUCCUGGCUCAAGACGAACGCUGGCGGCGUGCCUAACACAUGCAAGUCGAGCGGGGACACGGGGCUUCGGUCCUGUGUUCUAGCGGCGGACGGGUGAGUAACGCGUGAGCAAUCUGUCCCAGACAGGGGGAUAACAACUGGAAACAGUUGCUAAUACCGCAUAACACCACGGCCUCGCAUGGGGGCUGGGGUAAAAGUGGAAACACGGUUUGGGGUGAGCUCGCCUCCCAUUAGCUAGUUGGUGAGGUAACGGCCCACCAAGGCGACGAUGGGUAGCCGACCUGAGAGGGUGAUCGGCCACACUGGAACUGAGACACGGUCCAGACUCCUACGGGAGGCAGCAGUGGGGAAUAUUGGGCAAUGGGCGAAAGCCUGACCCAGCAACGCCGCGUGAGGGAUGAAUGUUUUCGGAUUGUAAACCUCUGUCCUCAGGGACGAAGGAAGUGACGGUACCUGAGGAGGAAGCCCCGGCUAACUACGUGCCAGCAGCCGCGGUAAUACGUAGGGGGCGAGCGUUGUCCGGAAUGACUGGGCGUAAAGGGCGCGUAGGCGGCUGUGUAAGUCUGGAGUGAAAGUCCUGCUUUUAAGGUGGGAAUUGCUUUGGAGACUGCAUGGCUUGAGUGCGGAAGAGGCAAGUGGAAUUCCCAGUGUAGCGGUGAAAUGCGUAGAGAUUGGGAAGAACACCAGUGGCGAAGGCGACUUGCUGGGCCGUAACUGACGCUGAGGCGCGAAAGCGUGGGGAGCGAACAGGAUUAGAUACCCUGGUAGUCCACGCCGUAAACGAUGAAUGUUAGGGGUAGGGGGUAUCGACCCCUCCUGGCCGGGAGUAAACACAAUAAGCAUUCCGCCUGGGGAGUACGGCCGCAAGGUUGAAACUCAAAGGAAUUGACGGGGGCCCGCACAAGCAGCGGAGCAUGUGGUUUAAUUCGACGCAACGCGAAGAACCUUACCAGGUCUUGACAUCCUGCUAACGAGGUAGAGAUACGUUAGGUGCCCUUUGGGGAGAGCAGAGACAGGUGGUGCAUGGUUGUCGUCAGCUCGUGUCGUGAGAUGUUGGGUUAAGUCCCGCAACGAGCGCAACCCUUAUGAAUAGUUACUAACACGUAAUGGUGAGGACUCUAUUGAGACUGCCGGGGACAACUCGGAGGAAGGUGGGGACGACGUCAAAUCAUCAUGCCCCUUAUGACCUGGGCUACACACGUGCUACAAUGGCGACCACAAAGGGAAGCGAAUUCGUAAGGAAGAGCGAAUCCCAAAAAAGUCGUCCCAGUUCGGAUUGUGGGCUGCAACCCGCCCACAUGAAGUUGGAGUUGCUAGUAAUCGCGAAUCAGCAUGUCGCGGUGAAUACGUUCCCGGGCCUUGCACA